rnacentral:rRNA from 1 species
UAGGGAAUCUUCGGCAAUGGACGAAAGUCUGACCGAGCAACGCCGCGUGAGUGAAGAAGGUUUUCGGAUCGUAAAACUCUGUUGUUAGAGAAGAACAAGGACGUUAGUAACUGAACGUCCCCUGACGGUAUCUAACCAGAAAGCCACGGCUAACUACGUGCCAGCAGCCGCGGUAAUACGUAGGUGGCAAGCGUUGUCCGGAUUUAUUGGGCGUAAAGCGAGCGCAGGCGGUUUCUUAAGUCUGAUGUGAAAGCCCCCGGCUCAACCGGGGAGGGUCAUUGGCAACUGGGAGACUUGAGUGCAGAAGAGGAGAGUGGAAUUCCAUGUGUAGCGGUGAAAUGCGUAGAUAUAUGGAGGAACACCAGUGGCGAAUGCGGCUCUCUGGUCUGUAACUGACGCUGAGGCUCGAAAGCGUGGGGAGCAAACAGG